UCCGAAAGGAGAGCUAAUACCGGAUACCCCCACCGAACCGCAUGGUUGGUGAGGAAAUGGAUUCCGCUUCGGGGAGGGCUUCGCGGCCUAUCAGCUAGUUGUGGGGUAACGGCCCACCAAGGGCAUCGACGGGUAGCUGGUCUGAGAGGACGAUUCAGCCACACUGGGACUGAGACACGGCCCAGACUCCUACGGGAGGCAGCAGUGGGAAUCUUGCGCAAUGGGCGAAAGCCUGACGCAGCAACGCCGCGUGGGGAUGAAGGCUCUCGGGUUGUAAACCCCUUUCAGCAGGGACGAAUCAAGACGGUACCUGCAGAAGAAGCCCCGGCUAACUACGUG
rnacentral:rRNA from 1 species